AUUGAACGCUGGCGGCAGGCCUAACACAUGCAAGUCGAGCGGGGUUUUCGGACCUAGCGGCGGACGGGUGAGUAAUGCGUAGGAAGCUACCCGAUAGAGGGGGAUACCAGUUGGAAACGACUGUUAAUACCGCAUAAUGUCUACGGACCAAAGUGUGGGACCUUCGGGCCACAUGCUAUCGGAUGCGCCUACGUGGGAGUAGCUAGUUGGUGGGGUAAUGGCUCACCAAGGCGACGAUCCCUAGCUGGUUUGAGAGGAUGAUCAGCCACACUGGAACUGAGACACGGUCCAGACUCCUACGGGAGGCAGCAGUGGGGAAUAUUGGACAAUGGGCGCAAGCCUGAUCCAGCCAUGCCGCGUGUGUGAAGAAGGCCUUCGGGUUGUAAAGCACUUUCAGUAGGGAGGAAGGGUGUUGUGUUAAUAGCACAGCAUUUUGACGUUACCUACAGAAUAAGCACCGGCUAACUCUGUGCCAGCCGCCGCAGUAAGAC
rnacentral:rRNA from 1 species